GGGGGUGUGAUUAUGGGGUAGAGGACCGGCCUUGCAAGCGGGAGGACGGGGGUUCAAAUCCCCCCCGCUCCACCA
rnacentral:tRNA from 1 species